CUGACCCACAAUUCCGUUCGGUUCCAUUUGCGGAUACCGUCUCGACCGAAGCUGAUAUUUGUGUAUUUUCGUAUUGUGCGUCGUUUUUCGAUGGAAAAAAGCAACCAGUGAUUGCAGACUUGUAAACAGUAACUUUAAAAUUUUAUUCCAACAUUUAUUUCUUAACCAGGAGUGAAUCCAAUGGCUGGUUUUUGGGACGGAGGCUUAAGGCAAUGGCAUGAAGAUACCCAUUGCCUCUUUCUGUAUUAAACAGCAUGCUUUCACAGAAAGUUAUUUCCAAAAGAAGAAGUAAAUCUAAGUUGUCUGAUGGGACAAGGGCCUCUUCUGAUACAUCAAGAAUAGUCAAACAGUUUUCUUCGUGUGGAUGAACUGAGGAUAUAAGAGUAGACAAAUGGCGCAAGACAAACACAGGCCAAAGAAAAAUACCUUCACCAAAACCGAGAGAAGCUUUGAAUCUGCAGACUCCAUUAGUCAAACAACCCCAGAUGCUUCCGAAAAUGAGGAACGGAGUGCACUGCAAGCCGAGACUAAAAGACUUGCCUUAGAACAGUUGCAAAAGGCAAAGGUAUGAUAAUGAUAAAUUAGCAG